UCAACCUCCCAAGUGCUAGCAUUACAGUCAUGAGCCUAGCUUCAUCCCAAAAUAUGUAACGGUCUAAUGGACUUCCUGCCUAAGUACCAUAAAGUCCCUGGGGCAUCAUUUCUACCAAAGAAAGAGCUCUUCAACUUGUCAUUCCUCUUUCCUUUUUAAUAAACGGUUCGCUCUCGCUGUGCAGUGAAGGAUCAGAAUGAAAGGUAUUGGAGAACAGUGUCAUUUCAUUAACCAUGACAACAUUGCAUCCGUUAGCGGGACAGGUGGAAUUUGUUUUUCCCUGUGUCCCUAAUUGCCCUCCCGUAAAGAAACAAAAGAGAGCAUUGAGAUAUUAAAAUUGAAAUUAGUUUUAAAGUAAUUUCUGCAAGCAUUUAGUUAUUUUUUUUAAAAGAUUGAUAUAUUUUAUAUAUAUGAGCACUCCAUCCUCAUGCACACCUGAACCAGAAGUCAGAUCCCAUUACAGAUGGCUGUGAGCCACCAUGUGGGUGCUGGGAAUUGAACUCAGGACCUCUGGAAGAGCAGCCAGUGCUCUUAACCUCUGAGCCAUCUCUCCGGCCCCCUAUCUAGUUAAUUUUUAUAGGUGAAAUGGCUUACAAAUUAAAGGAACAAAUCUACACCUAAGUAUUUAUCUGAAGAUUUCCCUUAAAGUAUGCUAAUACUGGGGAGGUAAGGGAGCCAUCUUAAUUGCUUUUCUGCUGCUUUGAAGAGAUGCCAUGACUGAGGCAACCUAUAAAGUCAAGCAUUUAAUUGGGAACUUGAUUAAAGUUCAGCGCAUUAUCACCAUGUUGGAGAGCACAGCAAAUGGCUUGGGGUUUUGAAACCUCAGAGCCCAGCCCCAGUGACAUACCUCCAACAAGGCCACACCCCUAGUGACAUCAUACCUCCAAAAAGGCCACACCCACAGUGACAUCAUACCUCCAACAAGGCCACACCCCCAGUGACAUCAUACCUCCAACAAGGCCACACCUCCUGAUCCUUCCUAAACAGUCUCCCAACUGGGAACCAAAGAUUCAAAUAAAUAAGUCUGCAGAGGCCAUUCCCAUUCGGACCACCACAGGAGGCAUGUCAUGGCAGAAAUGUAGCUACACUAUGAUAGAAAACCAAAUUACUAGAGGACUGGAAAGAGGGCUCAGCAGUUAUGAGCACCUCCUGCUCUUCCAGAGAAGCCAAGUCUGGUCCCAACAAUCAUGACUGACAGUACCCAACCAUCAGUAACUUCAACUCCAGGAGAGCCACUGUCUCUAGCCUAUAGCAUGUGCACAUAUGCACGUGCAGACACACACGCACACCUACACAAUUAAAAAUAAUAAAAGCAAUCUUUGGGGGGGGAACCCUCCCUCUCUGAUCUCUUCAAAACAGAAACUCUCAAAUUCUUCGCUUGAUUUCAUUAAAGAAGUCUUCGGUCAUAAGCCAGAGAAAACUUUGCACAUAGAAAAUGAACCUUUAUAAGUAAUAAAACGCGUGUAUGUCCAUCACUGUGUGACUGGGAUUUAAGGAAAUUUGAAUCUCAUAAUUUGUUAUAUAAACAAUGGGAUCCAUUCACAAGCCCAGUGUGCUACUCAGUGAAGUUUAGGGGAGCUGUAUACUGAAUAAUUUCCAAUAAAGCAUCAAUUAGAAAUUAUAAUUUAGUAGCAGGUGAUAGCCAAACACAGGUAUACACUAAUGAAAAGUGGGGGGGGGGGGGGGGGGUUAGGGCUUCAUGCUGCCAGGUUUGGGUUUGUAACACAGUUCACACUGAUGUGGCAGGAAAAACACGUGCUAUCAGUACAAUUGUAUACGUGAGGACAUUGCUAGCAGUGUUACAUAGUAUUUUCUAGAUUACUGGUGCUGUUACUUCACUAGCCAAGUCUUUAAAACCAGUCUCCAGAUGGAACCUGCAGCUGUACUAAAUAGAAUCCAGUGGGAUGACAUAAGUCCUGCUUUGUGCACUUCCUGUUUCUCUCCCACACGCCUCAGCCUUUGAGGUCUGCUGCCUUUCCUCAGGAUACCAUCCCUAGCCACCUCUCUCUAAGCCCAUCAUUAAGAUUGGUCUCAGUUGUCCCAGGCAACCAUGUUCUUUCCCUUUGGUUGGGUACCAGCGGACACUUGCACGGGCUGAUGCUGAUCACCAUUUGCAUUCCGUAUGCCACUGUCUGCUGUUGCAAUUUGCAUACUAGCCUAAGCCCAUUACAAGAUUUCAGAUCAUGAUUUAAUUUGUAGCAGAGCGUCUGUCUUGAAAGUGCUCAAAAUUCUUUUCAUGGUUGAGUUUUACAGAAGAGUGAACCAAGGCUAAUCCAGGGGUUCUAACUUCUACUUGCUUUUCACAUUUUGUAGGAAAAUAUUUCAUUUUUAAGCCAUAAAAGAAAUACUAAAAACUACUGUGAAUAUUAAGUAAUGGGGGUCUGGUACUGAAAAAAAAAAAAGAGUUUAUAUUGGCUUUUAAACCAGCUCCACUAUUAGUUAAAACUCAAACUGAUCAGAGUUAUAUCCAUGAAAAUUAGAAAUGAGUGUUGACAUUACUAUGUUUGAACAUGACUUUGGACAUGUUUUUCUGUUUUCUUUUUUCUUUUUUUUUUUAGCCGUGGCAGUUCAUUUAUUUAGCCAGCAUCCAUUGGGUUUCUCUGCUUUGGCAAUCACAGCACAUUAUGUCAGCAUGUUAACAGUGACUAGGAAAAGAGACCACUUAACUACUGUUAUACCCUGUAGCAUGUGUUGUCAUUACUCAUUUGCUAAAGGUUAAUGGAUGUGGGGCCAUUCUUGUCUGAUAAAGCAGCUUAUAAUUUAUUUGAUUUCAGAAGUUAACCACCUAAAAGUUUCAUAAUCUCUUGAGAACUCUGUCUUAACCAUGAGACUUUACUGGGUUUCAAAGCUGCAAAGAGCUAUAUUGUCUUAUUUCCUGAAGCCAACUCUCUGCAUCACAGACACCAGGAAAGUGAAUACAGUUGUCUCGGUUGAGUCUUUUGAUGACUGGCCAGUGUCCGAUUCUGACUUGUGGACGAAGCGGCCUCAUAGGAUCAGUGGAUUCACUCUUGAACCGUCUUACUACCUGUAGUCAGAAUCUACUUUUCUGAUAAAAUGAAAAGGGGUUCUAGGUAGUUCAAAUAAGAGAGAUAAUAAUAAUAAUAAUGAUAAUAUUCAAAUAAUAGUUAUAAUGCCAAGUUUUCUUGUAUAGAAAUGUAAUGUAUAUAAAAGAAGGCAUUUAAGCAAAGGUCAUGGAUUCCGGUCAGGGACCCAGAUCCUGUAACUAAGAGGGAGAAGGUACCCAAAGUAAAAAGUGUUGGGUGGUUUUAUAGCCAUUGGCUGUAUACUAUAAUUUUAAAAAUUCUAGCAGCUGGGGAUUGGUGUUCGUAAUCACCAGUUUGCCUCAUGUGUUGGACCUUGAGUUCUUCCAUACCAGCC
rnacentral:lncRNA from 1 species